rnacentral:rRNA from 1 species
GACAAACGCUGGCGGGGUGCAUGAGACAUGCAAGUCGAACGGGGUUGAGCGGGCUUGCUCGAUCAACCUAGUGGCGGACGGCUGAGUAACGCGUAGGUGACCUACCCGGAAGUGGGGAAUAACUGCCCGAAAGGGUGGCUAAUACCGCAUGUGGUCGGCGAUUCAGUUCGCCGCCCAAAGCCGCAAGGCGCUUCCGGCGGGGCCUGCGUCCGAUUAGCUAGUUGGUGGGGUAAUGGCUCACCAAGGCGACGAUCGGUAGCUGGUCUGAGAGGAUGAUCAGCCAGACUGGGACUGAGAACGGCCCAGACUCCUACGGGAGGCAGCAGUCGGGAAUUUUGCCCAAUGGACGAAAGUCUGAGGCAGCAACUCCGCGUGAGGGACGAAGGCCUUC